rnacentral:rRNA from 1 species
CAGUAGCCGCGGUAAUACGAAGGGUGCAAGCGUUACUCGGAAUUACUGGGCGUAAAGCGCACGCAGGCGGUCUGACAAGUCAGAUGUGAAAUCCCCGGGCUUAACCUGGGAACUGCAUUUGAAACUGUCAGGCUGGAGUCUUGUAGAGGGGGGUGGAAUUCCAGGUGUAGCGGUGAAAUGCGUAGAGAUCUGGAGGAAUACCGGUGGCGAAGGCGGCCCCCUGGACAAAGACUGACGCUCAGGUGCGAAAGCGUGGGGAGCAAACAGGAUUAGAUACCCGGGUAGUCCCUGUCUCUUAUAC